rnacentral:tRNA from 1 species
GGAGAGAUGGCCGAGAGGUCGAAGGCGGUCGCCUGCUAAGCGAUUAAGUGGGUUAAAGCCUGCUUCGAGGGUUCGAAUCCCUCUCUCUCCGCCA